rnacentral:rRNA from 1 species
GAUGAACGCUGGCGGCGUGCCUAAUACAUGCAAGUCGAGCGAACGGACGAGAAGCUUGCGUCUCUGAUGUUAGCGGCGGACGGGUGAGUAACACGUGGAUAACCUACCUAUAAGACUGGGAUAACUUCGGGAAACCGGAGCUAAUACCGGAGAAUAUUUUGAACCGCAGGGUUCAAAAGUGAAAGACGGUUUUGGUGUCACUUUUAGAUGGAUCCGCGCUGCAUUAGCUAGUUGGUAAGGUAACGGCUUACCAAGGCAACGAUGCAUAGCCGACCUGAGAGGGUGAUCGGCCACACUGGAACUGAGACACGGUCCAGACUCCUACGGGAGGCAGCAGUAGGGAAUCUUCCGCAAUGGGCGCAAGCCUGACGGAGCCACGCCGCGUGAGUGAUGAAGGUCUUCGGAUCGUAAAACUCUGUUAUUAGGGAAGAACAUAUGUGUAAGUAACUGUGCACAUCUUGACGGUACCUAAUCAGAAAGCCACGGCUAACUACGUG